rnacentral:lncRNA from 1 species
AGUUCCGGCUCUGAUCAUCCCACUGAACCACAUCCAGACAUUGACAUGUUCUGCUCCUGACCCAUGCUCACCUGUUCCUGGAUAACUUUAUACAGCCGGUGGUGGCUGGCCCGCUCCAGGAGUCUGAGGUGUGGGAGGUUCCUCUGCCCCCUCUGGAUAUCGGGGGGGCCCCGGCGUACUCCGUUCGCUCCAUACUGGAUCCGAGGCGUCGGGGGAGGGGCCUUCAGUAUCUCGUGGAGUGGGAGGGGUACGGUCCGGAUGAGAGGUGCUGGGUUCCGGUCGAGGACGUGUUGGACCCUUCAAUGCUGCAG